AUUGAACGCUGGCGGCAGGCCUAACACAUGCAAGUCGAACGACUGGCGGGCGGGUGAGUAAUGGCUGGCAGCCUGGCCGAUGGAGGGGACUAACUGCUACAAACGGUAGCUAAUACCGCAUCCCAUCGGAUGUGCCCAGGUGGGGUUAGCUGGUAGGUGAGGUAACGGCCUACCUAGGCGACGAUCCCUAGCUGGUCUGAGAGGAUGACCAGCCACACUGGAACUGAGACACGGUCCAGACUCCUACGGGAGGCAGCAGUGGGGAAUAUUGCACAAUGGGCGCAAGCCUGAUGCAGCCAUGCCGCGUGUAUGAAGAAGGCCUUCGGGUUGUAAAGUACUUUCAGCGGGGAGGCGUUACCCGCAGAAGAAGCACCGGCUAACUCCGUGCCAGCAGCCGCGGUAAUUC
rnacentral:rRNA from 1 species